rnacentral:rRNA from 1 species
GACGAACGCUGGCGGCGUGCUUAACACAUGCAAGUCGAACGGAAAGGCCCUGGUUUUGUGGGGUUCUCGAGUGGCGAACGGAUGAGUAACAAGUGAGUAACCUGCCCUUGACUUUGGGAUAACAUCAGGAAACAGGGGCUAAUACCGGAUAGGAGCUCCUGCUGCAUGGUGGGGGUUGGAAAGUUUCGGCGGUUGGGGAUGGACUCGCGGCUUAGCAGCUUGUUGGUGGGGUAGUGGCUUACCAAGGCUUUGACGGGUAGCCGGCCUGAGAGGGUGACCGGCCACAUUGGGGCUGAGAUACGGCCCAGACUCCUACGGGAGGCAGCAGUGGGGAGUAUUGCACAAUGGGCGGAAGCCUGAUGCAGCAGCGACGCGUGCGGGAUGACGGCCUUCGGGUUGUAAACCGCUUUCGCCUGUGACGAAGCGUGAGUGACGGUAAUGGGUAAAGAAGCACCGGCUAACUACGUG